rnacentral:rRNA from 1 species
AUUGAACGCUGGCGGCAGGCUUAACACAUGCAAGUCGAGCGGAGAUGAGGUGCUUGCACCUUAUCUUAGCGGCGGACGGGUGAGUAAUGCUUAGGAAUCUGCCUAUUAGUGGGGGACAACAUUCCGAAAGGAAUGCUAAUACCGCAUACGUCCUACGGGAGAAAGCAGGGGAUCUUCGGACCUUGCGCUAAUAGAUGAGCCUAAGUCGGAUUAGCUAGUUGGUGGGGUAAAGGCCUACCAAGGCGACGAUCUGUAGCGGGUCUGAGAGGAUGAUCCGCCACACUGGGACGGAGACACGGCCCAGACUCCUACGGGAGGCAGCAGUGGGGAAUAUUGGACAAUGGGGGGAACCCUGAUCCAGCCAUGCCGCGUGUGUGAAGAAGGCCUUAUGGUUGUAAAGCACUUUAAGCGAGAAGGAGGCUACUGAGACUAAUUCUCUUGGAUAGUGGACGUUACUCGCAGAAUAAGCACCGGCUAACUCUGUGCCAGCAGCCGCCGUAA